rnacentral:tRNA from 1 species
CAGGGCGUAGCUCAAGCGGAAGAGCACAAGGAAUUUCCUUGAUGAGUGAGGGUCCGAAUCCCUUCGCCCUAA